UUCACAUACUUCAAUGAUAAAGACACACAUGUAUCUAUCACUCGUUUAAGCAAAACUGAUAUCUUCUUUCUUGUUAAUUUGGAGAUGCAGAUGGUUGGUAGCACUCUGAAGCCCUCGAAAAGCAGCAGCCAGAAGAAAACGGUGAUGUCGUAGGGGAUGAAAUGGUUCCUGUUGAAGUGAGGCCAGGCCACAUUCGCUUCAAGCCGCUCGAUGAAGCCUCCCCUGAAACUGAACCGUAUGACUUACCCCUAUUUUCAUUUCCUUAAGCUUUUGCCCAAUCUGAAAUAUCUAUAAUGAUCAUGGCUUGAUAAUGUAACCAUGACGAAGAAGAAAUGGUACAGAGAAGACGGAUUUUCCAAACGAUAUGCUUGGGAUUUAAAUGAAGAUGAUACUUAUCAGACACAGCCCGUAGAGGCAGUGACACUUGCUAACGGUCUGAUAGACUAUGAACAGCUUGUGGAGUACACCAAGAAAGGAGAUUUUAUUGAGUUAACAUCAUCCUGGAGUCCCGAAGUUUCCUCCUUUCGAAGAAUGGAAAAGGGAACCCUUGGGAAGAACUAAGUGAAGCUCUAAGUGCGAAACUGUCUGAAGCCAACAAUGGGUGGAACAAGAAAGGGAGUUCAAGUGGAGGCACGUGAAUGCAUUGCUGAGUUUUUGUUAGGAACUUAGGGUAAAGGAAAAUUUGAUAUUUUUGUAUGCAUCUAAUGGUCCCUGCAAGCAAACGGAACUGAAUGGGAUUUCACAUGACCUCUACACGAUGAGUAUAGUCAUCAAUUGCUUCUGUCGGGGUGUCGUAAACUCGGUUUUGCUUUUUCUGUUUUUGGAAAGAUGUUGAAGCUUGGCUAUGAGCCCGACACAAUCACAUUCUCUACUUUGAUCAACGGGUCAUCAUCGCUGGAUUGAAAUAUAUCUUCCUUUCGAGACAAAUCACCAAAGAUUCUGACUCUGGUUCCUCCUCUUUGCACCGUGGCUGGAAAAGAGUAAUGAUUGGCUUAAAGGACCCAAAUCUUCUGUUGGUGUAUUCAUAUUUUUAUUGUUUAUCUAAGUCUUACUGCCCUCUGCUGUUGUUGUGUGUUGGAGGAAUGCUGCUUCUGAGAAUGCCUGCCCUUCUAUCUGGAUCUCUUGUUUUCAUCAUUUACAGUCACCUCACAUGUUCGGUCUAAGACAUGCUUAUAGCUCUCUCUGUCUUAUAUAUGGACUGUUAAUGUUUCUAUGUAUGUUAAUGAUGUACCCUCUUUGUUUGAGAGUAGACUAAUCGACAACAUGGAUGAGAAAAAGAAAACAGGUUUCUUGUGUAUCUUCUUUGUAGUUUAU